AGCUCUGGCCCUGGAGAAACUGAAUCAUUGAUGAUUAGCAAAUCCUUUGGUGUCAGUCAUGUUCGGGAAUAAACCUGCACAGCUUGAACAAAAAUUAUAAUCUAAAAAUCCCCAAUAAUUAGGUGAAAAUAAAACUUGGGGGUUUCUUGUUGUCUUUCCCUUUUUUCGUUUUCUGUUGAAUUGGGUCUUAGACACCUAGUUGAUCAUCAUCAAGCUUUCACCUCUCGUAACCUAAAAACCCUAUUUGAUCUGUACCCCAAAACUCUCUGUUCCCUACUUAUCUGUACAGGGGGGUCUAGUGCUUUAAACCGUACCCAGCACAACCCACCAGCCCACUAACUGUCUUAGUAACUAGGGUUUCCUAUAACCAUGGAGCUCAGCCCUCUUCUGGGUCCUUCUCUUUGAUCUCUUGCUGUGUUGGGUUUAUGUAGAGGCGGUUGUAUAUGGCUUACCCACAACACCAGAAUCCACAGCAGCUUUUCAAUUCGCCGUUCGGUGACACCACGUUGACGAAGGUCUUCGUCGGAGGCCUGGCCUGGGAGACCCAGUCCGAGACGCUCCGCCGCCACUUUGAGCAGUACGGUGAUAUUCUCGAGGCCGUCGUCAUCACUGAUAAGAACACCGCCCGAUCCAAAGGCUAUGGCUUCGUGACAUUUCGCGAUCCGGAGUCUGCGAGAAGGGCGUGUGCGGAGCCCAAUCCUGUUAUUGAUGGCCGGAGAGCUAACUGUAAUCUUGCCUCACUCGGCCGGCCUCGCCCAUCAUUCCAUUUCCCUGGGCAACUGAGAUCACCGGGGCCGAUCAUUGGUCGGGUGCAAGCUCCGAGAGGUGCUUAUGUGGGGAGUCCUGGCUAUCACCACCCUCUUUCCCAUGGUUAUCAGCCUGGGUUUGUUUACCCUUAUGGGUACACAGCAUAUGGACCUGAAUAUGUCUACCCACAGAACUUACAGCAAGGUGUCUACAGUCCUUACAUGAAUCAGCAAUACCUUCAGAUGUACGGUGUACCGGGAACAGUCAAUCCGGGUGUCUAUCCUUAUGGACAAGUGGGUCACUCUCUUUCUGGGAAUCCUGGGUAUACGACAGUUCAAAGCUAUGGAAUUCCAGGCCAUCAUGUACUGCAAUACCCUGGGUCCAACGUCAGUGGAGCAUCACCAAUUGCCCUGUCCACAAUUCAAACACCAUAUCCUGCAGGUAUAGCUGCACCAGCUCCAGGACAGGGACAACUUAUUCUUCCUACUAAUUCUCCUCAAUUCACCAGCAGUUCUGAUCAAACUGCAGGAUAAGUGCCAAAUCAGAAAGUCACAUCUUGAGGUAAUCCUUAGAUUGCAGCAGGACUAAGAGAAGCUACUGUCACUUAAGUGGCAGGUUCUAAAUCUAGCCUUGCAAGUUAUUAUCUUUGCUUUCUAGAGGUCAUUCAUGAUGGUCAUCAGAGAUACCGGAAAGUCUGUCAGCUAUUAGAUGUCGAGUCAUUCUGAAGUGUACCCCUCCCGAGUCAUGAGCCUGAAAGAGCAUGCAUGGAUUGCUCUCUCAGCUGGUGUCUGUAAAAUAUGCUGUUGCGCCUGCCCCGGCUCAAAGCCAUUGGCAUGUGAUGCGUCGUCGUGGUCGAUUUGCUGGAUAUGGUUUCUGGCAAACCGUAUAAUAAGGAAACUACUGUAAAUUUGUAAAUAACCAAACCCUCCUGUAUAUGUAGAUAUUUUUCUCCUGUAUCUUAGAAAAUUGAUCAAAAUAUGAUUUGUUGUCUGGACCCAAGGUAUGGGUUUCCACAGUCAAUUUCUAGUGCGCAUUGGCAUUGGUGUUGAUGUCUCACCUUGUAUUUACUCCCUCGUGUGUUCCUAAUUCUGUGCAUACUGCAAAGCAGAAAUAUCAUUGUUGAAUAUUGAAGCUGUCUUUUAAGUUAGCAUUUCUCCACUUCUCUAUGGCUCA